AGAAGAAAAUAUCUAGCCAAUUUCAAUCCUCCCACUGACUUCAUCAAGUCAGAUUAAAAAAAGAUUUAAUUAAAGCUGGCAUUAGGAGCACCUAAAUCAGUCAAACUGAUUUACCUAAUGACAUGGGUGAGCCCUAAUCAUCAAGUGAUCUAAUCAAAAUCUAAUUCAUCAGGUUGGCUAGGUAAGUGAGAUCAGUGGUGGGAAUAAGCCAUUAACUCG
rnacentral:lncRNA from 1 species